rnacentral:misc_RNA from 1 species
GAUGAAGAACGUAGCGAAAUGCGAUAAGUAGUGUGAAUUGCAGAAUUCAGUGAAUCAUCGAAUCUUUGAACGCACAUUGAGCCCCCUGGAAUUCCGGGGGGCAUGCCUGUUCGAGCGUCUCAGGGACGAACCCUCGCGCGGGUGUACGCGCGGUCGUGGCUGCGGUGGCGUGCCCGAGGCGGCGGCCACCGCGCUGGAAUCCAUGGGCGGACGCCUGCCGCGUGGCCGAGCGUGAUAUGACGCAUUGGCGCUCGCACGCGGCGAGGCUGCCAGCCCUGGCCCGUCUGUCGGGCGGGGGAGAGCAAGACACGUGAACUCCUCGAAUCAGGUAGGGAUACCCGCUGAACUUAAGCAUAUCAAUAAGCGGAGGA